UAUUCGAGAGAUCAGUCCACAUUGACAAUCAAAUCCAAACUACUGCUUGAACAACACGCUAGUACUACUAGAGUACUUUGCAUGAACGAGAGUUGAACGUAACGCACUUGAGCUGUGACACCCACAAUCAAAAACCAAUUGACACCAAAACAUGAUUUUCUGACGGAAACACAAAGGGAGAAGAAGAGAAGGGAGAUCCUGUCGCAAAACCACUUGGCAAAAACAUGGCUGUCAAAAAUCACACGGAGUUCCAAGAUCAAACCUCCUGAUUGUUGGACUACCCAAUGCUCACUGACUCUCAACCCAACCACCCCCAUUCAAUAACUAGCUAACCAACCCACCAACUAACCAACCCACCCACCCAACCAUCAAACAAGGAAUGAACCCACCAACCGUCAGACGGCUGGCCUACGCGCUGUAUUUGUUGGUAUGUGCGAAGAAGGCGAAGUUCAUCCGUUCAAGAUUGUGGAGCUCAGAGAAGGAGAGAGGGAGACGACCACGAGGAAAGAAAUUCUUUCACCCUCUUUUCUUCAAUCCCUUCCUUCUUCGUUUCUGCCUCGUGGAAGAUUGCUACAAUUCCGCCCGAGGGCAGAAACUGAACAAAUUGAAUCUGGCCAUGCAUCCUAAUUUGGUGUAAUGUCCCCGAGACCGACCGGCACGAACUUUAAUUUGGAAAAAGCAUGCCUUUCGAACACUAAUGGCUGGCGUUUCCACAGGGCUCCUCCGAUUUAUCUUCCAAUGACUGCCAAGCUGAGCUGGGCCUCGCUUAGGUCGUAAAUACGUAUGUAGAAACUCGGGGCACUUUCAUGCUCUGAAUGGCAAGGGC